CCACGCUGUAAACGAUGGAUGCUAGGUGUUGGGCAGUUAUGUUCAGUGCCGCAGCAAACGCGAUAAGCAUCCCGCCUGGGGAGUACGUUUGCAAGAAUGAAACUCAAAGGAAUUGACGGGGGCCCGCACAAGCGGUGGAGCACGUGGUUUAAUUCGAUGCUAACCGAAGAACCUUACCUGGGUUUGACAUCCACAGAAUACUAUAGAGAUAUGGUAGUGCCUGGUUUACCAGGAACUGUGAGACAGGUGCUGCAUGGCUGU
rnacentral:rRNA from 1 species